rnacentral:lncRNA from 1 species
AUGAGAUGCACCAUAGCCAUUGGUGGGGAAGCCAGCAUUGUAGUGAACAGCUUGCAUUGGAGGGCUGUACCUUGGGUAUUGGUACUCAUACACAUGUUGCUGUGGAGGGCUAUGAUUGGCUGGAGCUGGAGCAAUGUGAUUGGCUGGAGCUGGAGCAAUGUGAUUGGCUGGAGCUGGAGCAAAGCUUUGUCCAUGAGGACCAUAGGGUGGACCACGAGGCCCAUGGGACCCAUAAGGCCCAGUAGGCCCAGUAGGCCCAGUAAGCCGAAAAUGCCCUUGAGGCACAUAGGGGCCCUGACCCUGAGGCACAUAGGGGCCCUGACCCUGAGGCACACGUGGGCCACGUGGAUCCUGAGGAACAUGGGGCCCACUUGGUCCACGUGGCACAUUGCCAUGAUUUGGUGAUCCAGUGCUUGGUGGAGCAGCAACACAUUCUUCACCUUCAUCCUCUUCAGCAUUGGCAUUCCCCUUUGGCCCCUUCUUUUUGUUAUUUUUACUUCCACCGCCGCCACCUCCACCACUUUUCUCAACCUCGCAAUCACUUUCACCGCCCUCACUUUUCUUCUCGGCAACCGGUGGAUGGUUU